AUAGAUACCCGGUAGUCCACGCCGUAAACGAUGAGUGCUAAGUGUUAGGGGGUUUCCGCCCCUUAGUGCUGCAGCUAACGCAUUAAGCACUCCGCCUGGGGAGUACGGUCGCAAGACUGAAACUCAAAGGAAUUGACGGGGGCCCGCACAAGCGGUGGAGCAUGUGGUUUAAUUCGAAGCAACGCGAAGAACCUUACCAGGUCUUGACAUCCCAUUGACCACUAUGGAGACAUAGUUUUCCCUUCGGGGACAACGGUGACAGGUGGUGCAUGGUUGUCGUCAGCUCGUGUCGUGAGAUGUUGGGUUAAGUCCCGCAACGAGCGCAACCCUUGUUCUUAGUUGCCAUCAUUUAGUUGGGCACUCUAAGGAGACUGCCGGUGACAAACCGGAGGAAGGUGGGGAUGACGUCAAAUCAUCAUGCCCCUUAUGACCUGGGCUACACACGUGCUACAAUGGACGGUACAAACGGUUGCCAACCCGCGAGGGGGAGCUAAUCCGAUAAAACCGUUCUCAGUUCGGAUUGUAGGCUGCAACUCGCCUACAUGAAGCC
rnacentral:rRNA from 1 species